AUCGUCAGUAGUGGUUAGUACUAUCUCAAGAUAAUAUUAAUUACCAUUAUAUUAUAGAAACCUAAUGUUUCAUUUGUUUGUGUUCUUACUGUCGAUGAGGGUUUUCCUUCGGGAUUGGUCUUAUUUGACAAGUUAAUACUGGGACUCUGAACAUAUGAUUCUCAUACAAUAACCCAUAGCUGAAUGAAUUUUGACACAUCCUAAACAAAUGUGGCACAAUUUUCAUUUCGUUUCCGGUUUCUUAGAUAAAAACUAUUAUGAGGGAGGCCCUUAUAGGCAAAGACCUAGAGGGAAAUGCAUGUUUCCAGAGAGUUAUAUAAUGUAACUUGAGAGUUUGGGAUCUACAAUGCUUCUUCUUCAUGUUAGGACAAUU
rnacentral:snoRNA from 1 species